rnacentral:rRNA from 1 species
CACGUAGGGCGCAAGCGUUGUCCGGAAUUAUUGGGCGUAAAGAGCUCGUAGGCGGUCUGUUACGUCUGCUGUGAAAACCCGGGGCUUAACCCUGGGCUUGCAGUGGAUACGGGCAGACUAGAGGCAGGUAGGGGGAGAAUGGAAUUCCCGGUGUAGCGGUGAAAUGCGCAGAUAUCGGGAGGAACACCGGUGGCGAAGGCGGUUCUCUGGGCCUGACCUGACGCUGAGGAGCGAAAGUGUGGGGAGCGAACAGG